rnacentral:piRNA from 1 species
UGUAACUGUUUCGAUUGUGCACCUGAAAGA